GGCAGUGGGUGAGACAUGGCCUGCUCUCAGGAACCCCCAGUCGAGAGGGACAGGGUCUGAUGACGGCCUGCCCCUGCCGGGCGCACAGGCGACCAGCUAAGUAAGGAAGGGGCUUCUGCUCUAGCCUGGAAGAUUAGGGAAGUCUGCUGGGGAAUCGUGUAAACACAUUUUGAAGGAAGAGAAGAGCCCUGGGGAUAGACGAGGCCCAGGGCUGCCAGCCUGGAGAACAGCAUGUGCCAAGGCCCAGAGUCCGCGGCAGGCAGUGACGAAUGGGCUUGCAGCCUGGAGGGAGUGGGCUGAAGAGCCAUCUGAACGAGCUGGGCGGAGGUGAGCAGGCUGAGGAAGCAGAGCCCAGCCGGAAACUAGGAAGAGCUACCGGCAAUGGGGCGGCCGAACACAUCCUCCCCACGGCCUGGGAGGGCAGCUCAGAGAUCACCUCCUCCAGGAAGCAUUCCUUGACAACUCCACUCCCAGCCUGAAGGAUGAAGUCCAGGGCACUGACAGCAUCCACUGCAGCAUCACAGUGUGUGGUACCAACCAUCCCAGGUGACAAAAGGCCCAGUACGGACCAGGGUGGGUGUAUGCCAACCACGGAGGAUGUGAAUACAAGCACAAUCCAGGCCUCCUUCCUGGACUAGGGGACCCUUUCCCAGGGAUGGAGCCUUUCUACCUUCUCUGGGCCACAUGCAUCUCAUAUGCACUUAUGGCUUUGCUCCCAAAAAGUGCACAAAAGCCCAGGACUGGCUAGGGUGGUUUGGCCCUUCUUGGGCAGUGUCACCAUCCAGAAGCUGAUUGCUGGCCUGGUCCUGGCCUGACCCCUCCUCCUCCGUGUAAGGGGGCUGAUGAGGAUGCUGGGCUCCCAGUGGGCAUCUCUGCUAUGACACCAGUGCUGUGCCACAUAAGACCCUUUGAACCUUUCCAGAGCUCAGAGAAGACAAAAGGCAGCCCCAAAGCCACACACAUUUCCAGGCUUUGCUACCGGGAUGCUCUAAUCCUCCCCUGUACACCUUCCUAGAACCCAGAGGCACCCCAUCCCCAGGCCCCCAGCCACAGGCCCCUACCCUUCCAUCUGGGGACACAGGGAAAGCUGCUGGCCUGCCUGGGUGCUUUUCUGGACUGCGGGGAGGAAAGGCCCUCCCCUCCUCCUGGCAAGAAAUGUCAGGCCUGGGAACUCCAGCCUCCUCCCCAGGGUCUGUCUCCCACAGACCUCGAGCUGCCUGGAGGUGGGAACCAGCGUUCUGCACACGACGGAGCGACAGUGCACGUUUGCUUAAUGAAUGCAGAGGGACAUAAGGCAGGGCAGGGGCACGGAGCAUGGGAAUUAAACUUCAAUAAUUGCCAACAUGGAUGCAGAGCCUGGGAGCCUGCCCAGGGCUUCCACUGGCACCGCCGUCAUGAUUCAUGCUCCAGCAGCGCUUGGAAGUGGGCAGAGAAGGGAGCUGAGGCCGAGGGGCAGGGAGGUGGCUCUGCCCUGGAACCACCACCAGGGAUCGCAGCCCGACCCGGACUCCGCAGGACCCCUGCGCACCCAGGCAGCAUCGCGUCCUCCGCCAGGCAGCGAGCGGUUGGCUCUCCAAUCAGGCGGCGGACCCCGAGCCGACCGGUGCUGCGCGCGAGUGUGCGCGCCCGCGUGUGCGUGCGCGUGUGCCCGGGGGAGGCUAGGAGGCUCUUGUCUUAGAAAGAGCAGGUUUCUGGAACUCACCGCCCAGGCCAUCCAGCACUCAACCCCGUCCCGCAGACCGCAGUCGGCCCUGGAGGGGGCGCCCUCGCCGUGCGCGCGCGCCUCGCGCCACC